UACGUAGGCAGCGAGCGUUGUUCGGAUUUACUGGGCGUAAAGCGUGUGUAGGCGGCUUCGCAAGUUGGAUGUGAAAUCCCACGGCUCAACCGUGGACGUGCAUCCAAAACUGCGUCGCUGGAGUCUCGGAGAGGAAGGUGGAAUGCUUGGUGUAGAGGUGAAAUUCGUAGAUAUCAAGCAGAACACCUGCGGCGAAGGCGGCCUUCUGGACGAUGACUGACGCUGAGACACGAAAGCGUGGGGAGCAAACAGG
rnacentral:rRNA from 1 species